GCAGUCGAACGGUAACAUUGGUGCUUGCACCGGAUGACGAGUGGCGCACGGGUGCGUAACGCGUAUGCAAUCUACCUUUUACUGAAGAAUAGCCCAGAGAAAUUUGGAAUAAUCCUUCAUAAUAUCAUUUAUCAGCAUUGAUUUAUGAUUAAAGCUCCGGCGGUAAAAGAUGAGCAUGCGUCCUAUUAGUUUGUUGGUGAGGUAACGGCUCACCAAGACUACGAUAGGUAGGGGCCCUGAGAGGGGGAUCCCCCACACUGGUACUGAGACACGGACCAGACUCCUACGGGAGGCAGCAGUGAGGAAUAUUGGACAAUGGAGGCAACUCUGAUCCAGCCAUGCCGCGUGCAGGAAGACGGCCCUACGGGUUGUAAACUGCUUUUAUACAGGAAGAAACGCCGCUACGUGUAGCGGUUUGACGGUACUGUACGAAUAAGGAUCGGCUAACUCCGUGCCAGCAGUCGCGGUAAUACGGAGGAUCCAAGCGUUAUCCGGAAUCAUUGGGUUUAAAGGGUCCGUAGGCGGUUUUUUAAGUCAGAGGUGAAAUCCUGCAGCUCAACUGUAGCAUUGCCUUUGAUACUGAAAGACUUGAGUUAUUGUGAAGUAGUUAGAAUGUGUAGUGUAGCGGUGAAAUGCAUAGAUAUUACACAGAAUACCGAUUGCGAAGGCAGAUUACUAACAAUAUACUGACGCUGAGGGACGAAAGCGUGGGUAGCGAACAGGAUUAGAUACCCUGGUAGUCCACGCCGUAAACGAUGGAUACUAGCUGUUCGACCAACAUUGGUUGGUUGAGUGGCUAAGCGAAAGUGAUAAGUAUCCCACCUGGGGGAGUACGCUCG
rnacentral:rRNA from 1 species